rnacentral:lncRNA from 1 species
AUUUUCAAAUCUUUGAUUUGCCUGCCCUUUUCUUUGCCCUUCGCUACGCUUGCGACUCCCAAACCCAGACAAAAACCUUUGCAGCGCCGAGCAAGAGCAGCAGCAGUCCCUCUGUGCAUGCCUUCGAAGCUCCCAAGGUUCCAUGCUCGCCCGCGUUCGCCGAUGCAAUCCCCUCCGCCUCCCCGCUAGUUCUCCAAUCCUCUUCUCCAUGCCGUCCUUGCUCUCGGCGGCCAAGCCCUCCGCCACCGCCGCCGCCGCCGCCGUG